AGACAUUUUUUUUUUCUUCUCUCUUUUUUUUGGGUCUUCCCUCCUUGUUUUCUCCAUGAGGCCGCCUCUCAUGACCAUAUUCGGUCGCUGGCGGAAAUGGACUGUGCUCGUGGCGGCAAUCUGGAUCCAGGCAUCGACAGGGACUAACUUCGAUUUCUUGGCUUACUCCUCCCAUCUCAAAUCAGUACUCGGGAUUUGUCAGGUCAUGUUGAAUUACCUCACGGUGGCUUCCGAUUUGGGUGGUCGUCGGAGAUCGCUCUAGAUUAUCUCCCUCUCUCCUUCGUUCUUUUUGCGGUGGGGGGUAUGGGCUUUGUUGGCUAUGGUGCUCAAUGGCUUCUCAGCACCAACAUCAUCACUCUGCCUUAUUUUUGGGUUAUCUUCUUCUUCUUCACAGCAAACAAAAGCCAGUUUAGUGAUCUGAAAAUGAUUACCGUAUACAUAAGGGAAGAAUAUUAUUUAUGUUGUUGUUGUGGGGGGCAGAUAUAAUUAACAGAGUAUACGCAUUGUUCCUCAUCUCUACGCAAUGUUCUGUAACUUACUCUGUUUCAAUUUCCUGCAUUGUUCAUCAUCU